GGAUGUGAGGGUGAUCUGGCUGCAACAUCUGUCAUGCCAUUGAUUGCCAGGGUUGAUUUGGCUGAUCUGGCUGGCUAGGCGGGUGUCCCCUUCCUCCCUCACCACUCCGUGCGUGUCCCUCCUCAAGCUGCGCGCUCAGUCGAAGAGGACGACCAUCCCCGAUAGAGGAGGACUGGUCUUCGAUCAAGGGUAUACGAGUAGCUGCGCUCCCUUGCUAGAACCUCCAAACAAGCUCUCAAGAGAAAACAUGAAACAGUGUAAGGCAGCAGGGAAGAUGGUAGAUUUCCAUAUAAACAGGUGGAUAAUCUCUUU
rnacentral:snRNA from 1 species